rnacentral:ncRNA from 2 species
GAGGAAACCGGUGCGAUUCCGGUGCGGUCCCGCCACUGUCACCGGGGCCGGCGCGUGAGCGCCGGGCCCCGGGAGCCAGGAACUC